GAUGAACGCUGGCGGCGUGCUUAAUACAUGCAAGUCGAACGGAAAGGCCCUGCUUUUGUUGGGUGCUCGAUUGGCGAACGGGUGAGUAACACGUGAGUAACCCGUCCCUGACUUUGGGAUAACUUCAGGAAACUGCGGCUAAUAUCGGAUAGGAGCUCUUGCUGCAUGGUGGGGGUUGGAAAGUUUCGGCGGUUGGGGCUGGACUCGCAGCUUACCCGCCUGUUGGUCGGGUAGUGGCUUACCAAGGGUUUGACGGGUAGCCGGCCUGAGAGGGUGACCGGCGACAUUGGGACUGAGAGACGGACCAGAAUGCUACGGGAGGCAGCAGUGGGAAAUAUUACACAGUGGGCGGAAGCCUGAUGCAGCAACGCCGCGUGCGUGAUGACGGCCUUCGGGUUAUAAACCGCUUUCGCAUGUGACGAAGCGUGAGUGACGGUAAUGGGUAAAGAAGCACCGGCUAACUACGUG
rnacentral:rRNA from 1 species